rnacentral:rRNA from 1 species
CAAUAGCGUAUAUUAAAGUUGUUGCAGUUAAAAAGCUCGUAGUUGGAUUUCUAGAUAAGUGGGUACUUGUACUUUGCUUGUCUACCAGUCAUAGACUGUUACUGUGAGAAAAUUAGAGUGUUUCAAGCAGGCUGUUGCAGGAAUACAUUAGCAUGGAAUAAUGGAAAGGACUUCAACCUCUUCUGUUGGUCUGAGAGGCUGUAGUAAUGAUUAAUAGGGAUAGUUGGGGCGAUUAGUACUUAACUGUCAGAGGUGAAAUUCUCCGAUUUGUUAAAGACUAACUUAUGCGAAAGCAUUUGCCAAGGAUGUUUUCAUUAAUCAAGAACGAAAGUUAGGGGAUCAAAGACGAUUAGAUAC